rnacentral:rRNA from 1 species
CCUACGGGUGGCAGCAGUGAGGAAUAUUGGUCAAUGGGCUUACGACUGAACCAGCCAAGUAGCGUGAGGGAAGACUGCCCUAUGGGUUGUAAACCUCUUUUGUCAGGGAGCAAUUGGCGCUACGUGUAGCGUUAUCGAGAGUACCUGAAGAAAAAGCAUCGGCUAACUCCGUGCCAGAACCGGCGGUAAUACGGAGGAUGCGAGCGUUAUCCGGAUUUAUGGGGUUUAAAGGGUGCGUAGGCGGAAUGCAAAGUCAGCGGUAAAAUCGGGGGGCUCAACAUCGCUCCGCCGUUGAAACUGGCGUUCUUGAGUGGGCGAGAAGUAUGCGGAAUGCGUGGUGUAGCGGUGAAAUGCUUAGAUAUCACGAAGAACUCCGAUUGCGAAGGCAGCAUACCGGCGCCCAACUGACGCUGAAGCACGAAAGCGUGGGUAUCGAACAGGAUUAGAUACCCCGGUAGUC